GACGAACGCUGGCGGCAUGCCUAAUACAUGCAAGUCGAGCGAACAGAUGAAGUGCUUGCACUUCUGACGUUAGCGGCGAACGGGUGAGUAACACGUAAGGAAUCUACCUAUAAGCGGGGGAUAACAUCCGGAAACGGGUGCUAAUACCGCAUAAUAUCUUCUUCCGCAUGGAAGGAGAUUGAAAGACGGCUCUGCUGUCACUUAUAGAUGACCUUGCGGUGCAUUAGUUAGUUGGUGGGGUAACGGCCUACCAAGACGACGAUGCAUAGCCGACCUGAGAGGGUGAUCGGCCACAUUGGGACUGAGACACGGCCCAAACUCCUACGGGAGGCAGCAGUAGGGAAUCUUCCGCAAUGGGCGAAAGCCUGACGGAGCAAUGCCGCGUGAGUGAAGAAGGCCUUCGGGUCGUAAAACUCUGUUAUAAGAGAAGAACAAAUUGUAGAGUAACUGCUACAGUCUUGACGGUAUCUUAUCAGAAAGCCACGGCUAACUACGUGCCAGCCGCCGCCGUAA
rnacentral:rRNA from 1 species